ACGAACGCUGGCGGCGUGCUUAACACAUGCAAGUCGAACGGUGAAGGGGUCUGCUUUUGUGGGCCCUGGAUGAGUGGCGAACGGGUGAGUAACACGUGAGUAACCUGCCCCCUUCUUCUGGAUAACCGCAUGAAAGUGUGGCUAAUACGGGAUAUUCUGGGUCUGUCGCAUGAUGGGUCUGGGAAAGAUUGCGCCUUUGGGUGUUUUUGGUGGAGGAUGGGCUCGCGGCCUAUCAGCUUGUUGGUGGGGUGAUGGCCUACCAAGGCGGUGACGGGUAGCCGGCCUGAGAGGGUGGACGGUCACACUGGGACUGAGACACGGCCCAGACUCCUACGGGAGGCAGCAGUGGGGAAUAUUGCACAAUGGGCGCAAGCCUGAUGCAGCGACGCCGCGUGAGGGAUGGAGGCCUUCGGGUUGUAAACCUCUUUCGCCAGUGAAGCAGGCCUGCUCCUUGUGGGUGGGUUGACGGUAGCUGGAUAAGAAGCGCCGGCUAACUACGU
rnacentral:rRNA from 1 species